rnacentral:lncRNA from 1 species
GAAACUAUCAGGAGGGGCUCAUCUCUGAGAGACUGAGCCUGCAUUGAUGACCAGCACCUCCCUCCCCAGUGAUUUAAAAAAUUGUGAUAAAUGGGGUCAUCCUGAUGGCGGGAUGUGGCCGUAGCUAGUCUGCAUAUCAUGAAGAUGUGUCAGGUUAAUGUUAUUUGAGCUGUAGUACAUGUUGAGGGAACCCCAUGAGUAUACAGUACGAAAGACAACCACGGGAUCAGAACUAUAGAAUGAACACAGCAUGCUUCAGAAGAAACAGGGAGAUAACAAGGAUGGAUACUUCCCCACAACCCAAGAUAUACUGCCACAUAAAUGAAUGCAAACUAGUUCUUGGGUGUUGUGGAGACUAACUGUACUUUUUAAAUACUCCAUUGAGGUCUGGAAGUUUUAUCUUGUUUUCUGGUUUUUUUUUUUCCCAUUCAUUCUAUUUUUAUUCAUGUAGCCUAGAUUGGCCUUGAACUUCUGAUUCUCCUGACUCUACGUCCCUAGUACUAAGAUUACAGGUGUGCCCUAUCAUGUCCUGUUUAUGAGCUGCUGGGGAUCAAACCCAGGGCCUUCUGUAUCCUAGGUAGGUUAUGUCCCCAACUGAGUUAUGUCCCCAACUCUGGGAAGUUUUUUAAAUUGAUAAGCAGGGCAAUGUGACACUCUUCGUUUUAGUGGAUCAAAGAAUUGUGGGAUUGUUCAUAUAUACCUUUACAGGGCUUCCUUUUCAGAGCCUCCCAUAACUUUUCCUGGGGUGCCUAGUUUAAGCACUUGGGCUUCAGGGCAGUGAGCACAUGGGCUCCUGGUGAUUGUGAGCAAGCUUUGAGAGUUGGCACAAAAAUUAAUCUUUCUAGAAUGGGAGGGAGUUUAAUAGCUUUUAUUAAAAUCAUAGUAUUGACAAUCCCUUGUGUCCUUCCUUUCCAACAUGGGCCAGGCAGAAGCCUCCCUGUUGCUUGCAUUUUGAUGGCCCCACAAAGAAGGGGAUUAGGGGGACAAGGGGGGAGAGGGUAGUUUAAUCAUCAAAGAGGGGGAGACUUGAAAAUACACCAUUAACACUCACACACAUUUACCAGAGUGGGCUUCAGGAAGCAUUUACCUUGGGCACUCAAUAAAAUGCACAAAUUUUCCA